UGUGGUAAUGGCGAGUGCGUCUGUUCCGCAUAUUUGAUGUUGUGAUAAAGUUGGGCGUACGCGUCCGCCUUAUCAAUUGUGACAAAGUUUUCUGUUUCGAAUAUGUUCACUUGGUUUUCGCGUAUACGUUUUGUUUUUAAAUUAAUAUAACCGACAAUAAGAAAAUCAAAGUGUCCAGUGUACAAUGUCGGUGAUUCAUUAUCGGAAUAUGGAAGUACACGACAGAUAAUAGAAGAUAAUCGUAUCAUAUAAGAAAAAUUUACGACUUCGUGUAUCUUGUCACACGUGCGUAUACAUCGUCUUAUUCAUUUAUUAAUACAUUAGAAACAACUUUAAUCGUGCUACAACAUCACGAAUAAUCAAUACGUUCUCGUAAACGUAUAACGCCAUAAUAUGAAAUCGGAGCGAGCAUGAAGGUGACUGUGUGUUUUGACAACGUUCGAGUGGUGGUUCCUUGCGGGGAUGGAACCCUACUGGUUAAGGACUUAAUGCACGAGGCUAUUCUAAGGUACAAAAAGGCAACUGGAAAAAAUGAUAAUACAUUAUCUAUAAACAGCUUAUCUUCUUUAACUGGGGGUGGCCUGUUGGAUCCAGAUGAUAGGUUAUGUGAUGUAGCCGAUGACAGAGAACAGAUUGUUGCUCAUUUUGUAAGUACAGACACUACCCAUGCUGGUGGUGAUGGGGCAAGCUCGGUUGGGACAAAUAGCCCAGAUUUUUUUCACUCCGAUGGUAAAGAAUUAUCUUAUCCAAUCGAUAUGCAUUCCUCUGUAUCUACCAGUAGUAUUAAAAGAGAAAGCACUAAAAGAUUGUCAAUGCACGCUCUAUCAACCAGAGAACCUUGUUUAACUACAUAUUCUGCUCAAUCUCUACCCAGAGAAUCUCGGCGCAGAGAACCAUUGGGACAAGAUGCCAAAGCAUCGUUUGAAUAUGCGAAUGCCAAUAUUGAAUCUAGAGAUCAGGGGGAAAUUCGAAAAAUUGUGAUAAAGAAUGAAGCAGGACCGCUAGGGCUUCACGUGGUGCCAUGUUAUGAUUUAUUGGGUAAUGAUCAGGGACUCAGAGUCGAAGGUAUCGAGCCCAAUGGCCGAAUUGCUAGAGAUGGGCAAAUUGAUUUGCACGACAAAAUCAUAAAAAUAAAUGGUCACAACCUAUUGCAUAUACCAUUCUCCAAAGUGCAAGAAAUAUUUCGAACCUGUAUGACUGAACCAUGUUUGCAAAUUUCUGUGGUCAAGCAUAAAAAACCACGUGAAAAAUCGCUGCAUAAAAAUCAUGGAAACACCAGUGGAGGAUCAGAAAAGACAGAAACGGAUGACAAUGUCAAAAGACUUCAAUGUAGUAACUACAACUUGUUACAGACUGCUAACACUCGUAAAAUUGGACGUAUGAUAGAGAUAGAAUUAACGAAAGGAAGUAACGGUCUUGGAUUUAGUGUCACCACACGUGAUAAUCCUGCAGGAGGACAUUGUCCUAUAUAUAUUAAGAAUAUAUUAUCGAAAGGUGCUGCGGUCGAGGAUGGCAGAUUGAGAUCUGGCGAUAGGCUGUUGGAAGUAAAUAAUAAAGAAAUGACCGGCAAAAGUCAAGCGGAAGUGGUUUCGCUUCUUAGAAGUAUUUCGCCUGGCGGGAAAGUGAGAAUGGUGGUAUCGCGCCAAGAAGAAAUUUCCUCCAGCAUUCCAGAUUCUCAAUCUCAUGUUACCACUGCGAGUCAAGCUUCGGAAAUUACAGAUAACUCAAAGUAUUGGAACACAUUGAAUACGUCACCGAUAAAGAAGAAUACUGAAACACAAGAUAAAAUUAAUACCCGUAAUUAUGAUAAAUGUACAUUCAAGUCCGUAAAAUGUUCGGAAGAUAUUGUUUUGUCACCGCGAAAAAAUCGCAUGAUAUUAACUUUGGAUAUACCAGUACACGACUCGGAAAAAGCAGGAUUAGGUGUCAGUGUAAAAGGAAAGACUACAAACACGGAUGAGAACACUAACAUGGAUUUGGGGAUUUUUAUAAAAAGUGUUCUUCACGGUGGUGCAGCUUCUAGAGACGGACGGUUAAGGACGAAUGACCAGUUGCUCAAUGUUAAUGGGGUAUCUUUGUUGGGAUUAUCUAAUUCCGAUGCAAUGGAAACGCUCAGAAGAGCAAUGCUCAAUACAAAUAGCUCUGUAACAGGUGUAAUUACCCUCACAAUAGCUAGGAGGAUAUCAUCGUACGAUGGAAACGAGAAGAAUCUUCCUGAGAAUUUGACUCCUCGCUGUAAAUUAGAGUCCGCUAACAGUAUAUACAUAUCCGAUUCUACAAAAGCCAAUGAGGGCAGAGUGAAAGAAAAGAAUAGCUUAAACUCACAGUCGGAUAUCUUAGACAAUGGGGGUUUGUUGUCUUGUGUAACAGCAUCUCCUUGGAAUCCAGUCAUCGACAGAUUAACAGAACAGUAUAAUAAGAACAGUCUAAGGAAUGAAAGUUACUGUAUUGCUACCAAUAAAACGUGGAUCGAACCUGCCAGUAACGUGAAAAAGGUCACCGUAGGACAGCGCGACGAGCGGGUGGAACAAGUAUUGUUAGAAGAUUCCAGUGAACCACAGUGCAAUGAUGCUAAGAGAAACACAGACGACAAAGACAGUCAGUGUUCAGGGGACCCGACUUACGACAGUCAGUUAUCUCUGGAGGAAUUUAACUCCUCUUCCAAUAAGUUUUCCCGCGACGCGUUAGGUAGGCAAAGUAUGUCGGAAAAGCGGCACGCCGCUCUCGAUGCAAAGAAUACGGACACUUAUAAGAGAAAUAAGAAAUUACGGGAGGGUCGCGAGAAUAAAAAUCAGGAACAAGCCAAUCAAAAGUCCGCGAAUCAGGCGACAGAGUCGGAGGAUCAGACGAGACGAGGAGGUAAAUCGGAGAAUUUUGAAAAGAAUAAAAGUAAAAGUACCACCGAGGGUAGCACGGCGAGCGAUAGUAAUAUAAAACGAUACGAAAAGUCCGUGGAUCCUGCUCAGUCGGAAUACGUGUAUACUAUACCUGGAUGUAAUAAUAAGUUCACUUCGCCGAGAAAACAUUGGCUCGUGGAUGAUGUGCAUGGCGGGAUAACGAGUGGCAAUAAUUUUAAAGACGAUCGCGAAGGUUUUCCAAAUAGUAGGGGGGACGUGAAACAGGCUUCUCUCAAUUCAGCUUUAGAUGAUCGAUAUAAACGUUCGCGAAAAAAGGGUGGCAUACGGUCGAUGCUUCGAUUAGGGAAGAAUAGAAAAUCGCUCAAUUUCGGUGACAGUAUCGAAGCCCGCCACGAAUCCAGCAAUUAUUGCAGUGGAACGAUCAAUUAUAUCGCAUAAUAUUAGAAGGGUAUUUAUAACGUAGAUACGGAAUUCACGAUAUACAUAAACGUACUUGUACAUCUAGAAACAUAUUAUACACGAAUACACAUUUUAACACUCAUCGCACGUUACGCGCGUACACGUACACGUACACGCGACCAUAUAGUAUAUAUUUACAUGUAUGAUUUGUUCCAAAGUGCCUUAUAUCGUUGCAAGAAAUAAUUCAUUCUGUAUAUAUAAUUUUUGUACUCGUCUUCAAUUCGUACCGAUCAUGUAUCUAUUUUUAAAAUAAAAAAUCGUGCACGCAAUUCAUGCAAUGUGUAAGUUGAAUAACCAAUAGUUCCGAAUUAGGAAUUAUUCCGUUGUUACUAAUAUAUUAGGUUCCCAGAAAGUAUUUUUACUACUUUGAUCGUUUUGAUCGUUGUUUGUAAAUUCGAAUUUCUACGUAAAAAAUCAUCGAUACAAACAGUCCGUAUCGGAGCCCGAAAACAUUGUGCAUUUCAGUUAACACCAAAUCAGUUGUUGUACCAACAGAAGCGUUAUAGAGGCAAGAUAAAUCUUAAAAAGCCGAAAGUGUUUUAUAAGAAAGCUGUAGUGAAUGCACUUUUAACGCCAUUCUUUAUCAA